ACCUCAGUAACGGCGAGUGAAGCGGUAACAGCUCAAAUUUGAAAUCUGGCCUCACGGUCCGAGUUGUAAUUUGUAGAGGAUGCUUCGAGCAUGGUCUGGCCUAAGUUCCUUGGAACAGGACGUCAUAGAGGGUGAGAAUCCCGUAUGCGGCCAGGUGCCUACGCUCAUGUGAAGCUCCUUCGACGAGUCGAGUUGUUUGGGAAUGCAGCUCAAAAUGGGUGGUAAAUUUCAUCUAAAGCUAAAUAUUGGCCAGAGACCGAUAGCGCACAAGUAGAGUGAUCGAAAGAUGAAAAGCACUUUGGAAAGAGAGUUAAACAGUACGUGAAAUUGUUGAAAGGGAAGCGCUUGCAACCAGACUUGCGCGCGGCCGAUCAUCCGGUGUUCUCACCGGUGCACUCGGCCGUGCUCAGGCCAGCAUCGGUUUUGGCGGCUGGAUAAAGGCCCUAGGAAUGUAGCUCCUCUCGGGGAGUGUUAUAGCCUAGGGUGCAAUGCAGCCUGCUGGGACCGAGGACCGCGCUUCGGCUAGGAUGCUGGCGUAAUGGUUGUAAGCGGCCCGUCUUGAAACACGGACCAAGGAGUCUAACAUCUAUGCGAGUGUUUGGGUGUCAAACCCAUACGCGUAAUGAAAGUGAACGGAGGUGAGAACCCUUAAGGGUGCAUCAUCGACCGGUCCUGAAGUUUACGGAAGGAUCUGA
rnacentral:rRNA from 1 species